UGGGGAAUAUUGCGCAAUGGGGGCAACCCUGACGCAGCAACGCCGCGUGAUCGAAGAAGGUCUUCGGAUUGUAAAGAUCUUUUAUCAGGGACGAAUAAAAUGACGGUACCUGAUGAAUAAGCUCCGGCUAACUACGUGCCAGCAGCCGCGGUAAUACGUAGGGAGCGAGCGUUAUCCGGAUUUACUGGGUGUAAAGGGCGAGUAGGCGGGCUGGUAAGUUGGAAGUGAAAUGUCGGGGCUUAACCCCGGAACUGCUUUCAAAACUGCUGGUCUUGAGUGAUGGAGAGGCAGGCGGAAUUCCUAGUGUAGCGGUGAAAUGCGUAGAUAUUAGGAGGAACACCAGUGGCGAAGGCGGCCUGCUGGACAUUAACUGACGCUGAGGAGCGAAAGCGUGGGGAGCAAACAGGAUUAGAUACCC
rnacentral:rRNA from 1 species